GGGGAUGUAGCUCAGUGGUAGAGCGCACGCUUCGCAUGUGUGAGGCGCCGGGUUCGGUACUCGGCAUCUCCA